CAGUAAUCCAGAAAAGACCCCUAUCCACACUUUCUUUUGCAACUAUGACUUAAGUGAGAUGCCAGCUGGUACCAAGACAUUUUUGCGCCAAAAGAUCACCUUAUCCUCGUCUGGACUGAAUGGGAGGAACAGAGAUUAUGACAUGAAAAGUGAAGUUGAGCAAUCUUCAAUCCCACACAGUAGUCAUUCUUCAAAGUGUGGGAGGGAGACUUCAGACUCAAAGGGACUUGAUGCUGAACAUACAAUAAGAUCUCCCAACCACAGUAGUAAUUGUAUAAAUACUGGUGCGGAGACCAACAGCCCUCCAAAUUCAACCAGUGUAUUUGUAAGCAAAUCUGUACAUAGCCCUUCUAAGGCCAAUGAAAACACCGCUGGAGCUGGUGUUCUGCGUUAUGCUCUUCAUCUCCGGUUUUUAUGCCCUUUUCCCAAGAAAAGUCCAAGGUCAGUCCGAAGGUGCAAAUCUGACCCUUUAUCUGCACCCACAG
rnacentral:misc_RNA from 1 species